rnacentral:rRNA from 1 species
UACGUAGGGGGCAAGCGUUGUCCGGAAUCAUUGGGCGUAAAGCGCGUGUAGGCGGCUCGGUAAGUCCGCUCUGAAAGUCCAGGGCUCAACCCUGGGAUGCGGGUGGAUACUGCCGGGCUCGAGUCCGGAAGAGGCGAGUGGAAUUCCCGGUGUAGCGGUGAAAUGCGCAGAUAUCGGGAGGAACACCAAUGGCGAAGGCAGCUCGCUGGGACGUGACUGACGCUGAGACGCGAAGCGUGGGGAGCAACAGGAU